ACAUAUUUUAAUUUUAAUUCCUUCAAAUUAAUUCUUAAGUUUUUGAGUCCGUUUUAAUGUUUAUUUCGCAUCAAAACGUUUCUAGCUCAAUCAAACACUUUAAAAAAUAAUAAUUAAAAAAAUAUUCGUACUGCAACCUUAUUUAUUUACUAAGAUUAAAUAUAUCUCAUUUAUUACCAAAGUAAUUGUUUAUUAAAAUAAUUCUUUUCAUAAUUUU
rnacentral:lncRNA from 1 species